rnacentral:rRNA from 1 species
UGACGAGUGGCGGACGGGUGAGUAAUGUCUGUNNAAACUGCCUGAUGGAGGGGGAUAACUACUGGAAACGGUAGCUAAUACCGCAUAACGUCGCAAGACCAAAGAGGGGGACCUUCGGGCCUCUUGCCAUCAGAUGUGCCCAGAUGGGAUUAGCUAGUAGGUGGGGUAACGGCUCACCUAGGCGACGAUCCCUAGCUGGUCUGAGAGGAUGACCAGCCACACUGGAACUGAGACACGGUCCAGACUCCUACGGGAGGCAGCAGUGGGGAAUAUUGCACAAUGGGCGCAAGCCUGAUGCAGCCAUGCCGCGUGUAUGAAGAAGGCCUUCGGGUUGUAAAGUACUUUCAGCGGGGAGGAAGGUGUUGUGGUUAAUAACCGCAGCAAUUGACGUUACCCGCAGAAGAAGCACCGGCUAACUCCGUGCCAGCAGCCGCGGUAAUACGGAGGGUGCAAGCGUUAAUCGGAAUUACUGGGCGUAAAGCGCACGCAGGCGGUCUGUCAAGUCGGAUGUGAAAUCCCCGGGCUCAACCUGGGAACUGCAUUCGAAACUGGCAGGCUAGAGUCUUGUANAGGGGGGUAGAAUUCCAGGUGUAGCGGUGAAAUGCGUANAGAUCUGGAGGAAUACCGGUGGCGAANGCGGCCCCCUGGACAAAGACUGACGCUCANGUGCGAAAGCGUGGGGAGCAAACAGGAUUANAUACCCUGGUAGUCCACGCCGUAAACGAUGUCNACU